GUAGGGUGCGAGCGUUAAUCGGAAUGACUGGGCGUAAAGGGCAUGUAGGCGGAUAAUUAAGUUAGGUGUGAAAGCCCUGGGCUCAACCUAGGAAUUGCACUUAAAACUGGUUAACUAGAGUAUUGUAGAGGAAGGUAGAAUUCCACGUGUAGCGGUGAAAUGCGUAGAGAUGUGGAGGAAUACCGAUGGCGAAGGCAGCCUCCUGGGAUAACACUGACGUUCAUGCUCGAAAGCGUGGGUAGCAAACAGGAUUAGAUACCCUGGUAGUCCACGCCCUAAACGAUGACAAUUAGCUGUUGGGACACUAGAUGUCUUAGUAGCGAAUCUAACGCGUGAAAUUGUCCGCCUGGGGAGUACGGUCGCAAGAUUA
rnacentral:rRNA from 1 species